CUAGCCAAUGGCGGCGCCCAGGGCUGCUUCAAUAAAAUAUGAAACCCUGCCCCUCUGCGUGUUACUAGGCUUGUUUGAGAUCAGCAACAACCUGCGCUUCGCAGAGGAUCUGACUUCGCUGGACCGGGAGAGACGGAAGAGCUUGUGACCGAGGCGAGGGCUGCUGGAAAAAUGGCUUAUUAUGAAGGAGCGCGUGCGUUUAUCUGAGGUGUGGAGAUUACUUUGUGAGUUCCAUCGUGAGGAUCGUGUAAGAUGAUGACUGUUAACUGUCACUAUGGCGUUUGAUCUAUCGUCCUACUACAGUUGGACUUUUAAAUUGGUUGCCAUCAAAGACAAAGAGGGAAUAGAAUGAAGACCAUCACACUCCACUGGAACACAACAACUGAUUCACUAUGGACUGAACUGUAAAUGUUGAACUCAGUUUCUGUAAUGGGCUACAAUAUUUCCCUUUAUGAAUUUCAUGAAAUAUUAUGAGUUCAGUUGACAAGUUCUCAUAAUGAAUAAUAAGAGAUCUUUACCAGCUUAUAACAAAAUAAUUUCCGAUUCAUUGUCCCACUUAUUUGUGAUGUAGUCUAUCUUUUGUUAUUAAGAAAUUUACUUUUGUAAUGAAAUACAAUGACUUGCAUUUAUUUGAGUCUCAACAUUGUGGCUUUGUGGGUUUGUUAACCUCGUAGCUUUCAAUGUAGGAACUGUUUUGGACCUUCAGAUGUUUCAGAAAUCACUGUAGCAUGAUGAUUUGCUGCUCAAGAAACAUUUCUCCUGUUGAAAACAGUUAUAAAUAUACAUUAUGAUUUCACCUAUGAUCCAGUGCCAAAGUCAGCAGUCCGAGAGGGGGAAAGCGGCACUCAGCAGUCCUUUGCAUUUCCUGGAAUAUUUCUGUGGGAGAAUUUUGUGUCAGAGUAUGAAGAGAAUGAACUGAUUGCUAGAAUGGAUCAAGGUGUCUGGAGAGAAUCUCAGUCAGGCCGUCGAAAACUGUGAAUCAGUGAUGUGUCCAAACUUUUGAGAGAUGAACCAGUGUUUGAAAUUCUUUAUGUCCAUACCUCAAGAUCGGAUCCAUUGCAGAUAAAGAACUUAAACAUUUCAUGUUGAUCGCUACACACCGCCUUAAGUAAAUAAAGAAAGAU